rnacentral:rRNA from 1 species
GGUUAAGCGACUAAGCGUACACGGUGGAUGCCCUGGCAGUCAGAGGCGAUGAAGGACGUGCUAAUCUGCGAUAAGCGUCGGUAAGGUGAUAUGAACCGUUAUAACCGGCGAUUUCCGAAUGGGGAAACCCAGUGUGAUUCGUCACACUAUCAUUAACUGAAUCCAUAGGUUAAUGAGGCGAACCGGGGAACUGAAACAUCUAAGUACCCCGAGGAAAAGAAAUCAACCGAGAUUCCCCCAGUAGCGGCGAGCGAACGGGGAGCAGCCCAGAGCCUGAAUCAGUGUGUGUGUUAGUGGAAGCGUCUGGAAAGGCGCGCGAUACAGGGUGACAGCCCCGUACACAAAAAUGCACAUAUUGUGAGCUCGAUGAGUAGGGCGGGACACGUGGUAUCCUGUCUGAAUAUGGGGGGACCAUCCUCCAAGGCUAAAUACUCCUGACUGACCGAUAGUGAACCAGUACCGUGAGGGAAAGGCGAAAAGAACCCCGGCGAGGGGAGUGAAAAAGAACCUGAAACCGUGUACGUACAAGCAGUGGGAGCACAGAGCAAUCUGUGUGACUGCGUACCUUUUGUAUAAUGGGUCAGCGACUUAUAUUCUGUAGCAAGGUUAACCGAAUAGGGGAGCCGAAGGGAAACCGAGUCUUAACUGGGCGUUAAGUUGCAGGGUAUAGACCCGAAACCCGGUGAUCUAGCCAUGGGCAGGUUGAAGGUUGGGUAACACUAACUGGAGGACCGAACCGACUAAUGUUGAAAAAUUAGCGGAUGACUUGUGGCUGGGGGUGAAAGGCCAAUCAAACCGGGAGAUAGCUGGUUCUCCCCGAAAGCUAUUUAGGUAGCGCCUCGUGAAUUCAUCUCCGGGGGUAGAGCACUGUUUCGGCAAGGGGGUCAUCCCGACUUACCAACCCGAUGCAAACUGCGAAUACCGGAGAAUGUUAUCACGGGAGACACACGGCGGGUGCUAACGUCCGUCGUGAAGAGGGAAACAACCCAGACCGCCAGCUAAGGUCCCAAAGUCAUGGUUAAGUGGGAAACGAUGUGGGAAGGCCCAGACAGCCAGGAUGUUGGCUUAGAAGCAGCCAUCAUUUAAAGAAAGCGUAAUAGCUCACUGGUCGAGUCGGCCUGCGCGGAAGAUGUAACGGGGCUAAACCAUGCACCGAAGCUGCGGCAGCGACGCUUAUGCGUUGUUGGGUAGGGGAGCGUUCUGUAAGCCUGUGAAGGUGUGCUGUGAGGCAUGCUGGAGGUAUCAGAAGUGCGAAUGCUGACAUAAGUAACGAUAAAGCGGGUGAAAAGCCCGCUCGCCGGAAGACCAAGGGUUCCUGUCCAACGUUAAUCGGGGCAGGGUGAGUCGACCCCUAAGGCGAGGCCGAAAGGCGUAGUCGAUGGGAAACAGGUUAAUAUUCCUGUACUUGGUGUUACUGCGAAGGGGGACGGAGAAGGCUAUGUUGGUCGGGCGACGGUUGUCCCGGUUUAAGCGUGUAGGCUGGUUUUCCAGGCAAAUCCGGAAAAUCAAGGCUGAGGCGUGAUGACGAGGCACUACGGUGCUGAAGCAACAAAUGCCCUGCUUCCAGGAAAAGCCUCUAAGCAUCAGGUAACAUCAAAUCGUACCCCAAACCGACACAGGUGGUCAGGUAGAGAAUACCAAGGCGCUUGAGAGAACUCGGGUGAAGGAACUAGGCAAAAUGGUGCCGUAACUUCGGGAGAAGGCACGCUGAUAUGUAGGUGAGGUCCCUCGCGGAUGGAGCUGAAAUCAGUCGAAGAUACCAGCUGGCUGCAACUGUUUAUUAAAAACACAGCACUGUGCAAACACGAAAGUGGACGUAUACGGUGUGACGCCUGCCCGGUGCCGGAAGGUUAAUUGAUGGGGUUAGCGGUAACGCGAAGCUCUUGAUCGAAGCCCCGGUAAACGGCGGUACCGUAACUAUAACGGUCCUAAGGUAGCGAAAUUCCUUGUCGGGUAAGUUCCGACCUGCACGAAUGGCGUAAUGAUGGCCAGGCUGUCUCCACCCGAGACUCAGUGAAAUUGAACUCGCUGUGAAGAUGCAGUGUACCCGCGGCAAGACGGAAAGACCCCGUGAACCUUUACUAUAGCUUGACACUGAACAUUGAGCCUUGAUGUGUAGGAUAGGUGGGAGGCUUUGAAGUGUGGACGCCAGUCUGCAUGGAGCCGGCCUUGAAAUACCACCCUUUAAUGUUUGAUGUUCUAACGUUGGCCCCUGAUCGGGGUUGCGGACAGUGUCUGGUGGGUAGUUUGACUGGGGCGGUCUCCUCCUAAAGAGUAACGGAGGAGCACGAAGGUUGGCUAAUCCUGGUCGGACAUCAGGAGGUUAGUGCAAUGGCAUAAGCCAGCUUGACUGCGAGCGUGACGGCGCGAGCAGGUGCGAAAGCAGGUCAUAGUGAUCCGGUGGUUCUGAAUGGAAGGGCCAUCGCUCAACGGAUAAAAGGUACUCCGGGGAUAACAGGCUGAUACCGCCCAAGAGUUCAUAUCGACGGCGGUGUUUGGCACCUCGAUGUCGGCUCAUCACAUCCUGGGGCUGAAGUAGGUCCCAAGGGUAUGGCUGUUCGCCAUUUAAAGUGGUACGCGAGCUGGGUUUAGAACGUCGUGAGACAGUUCGGUCCCUAUCUGCCGUGGGCGCUGGAGAACUGAGGGGGCUGCUCCUAGUACGAGAGGACCGGAGUGGACGCAUCACUGGUGUUCGGGUUGUCAUGCCAAUGGCACUGCCCGGUAGCUAAAUGCGGAAGAGAUAAGUGCUGAAAGCAUCUAAGCACGAAACUUGCCCCGAGAUGAGUUCUCCCUGACCCUUUAAGGGUCCUGAAGGAACGUUGAAGACGACGACGUUGAUAGGCCGGGUGUGUAAGCGCAGCGAUGCGUUGAGCUAACCGGUACUAAUGAACCGUGAGGCUUAACCUU